AUUGAACGCUGGCGGCAGGCCUAACACAUGCAAGUCGAGCGGAUGAAGGGAGCUUUCUCCUGGCUUCAGCUGCGGACGGGUGAGUAAUGCCUAGGAAUCUGCCUUGUAUUUGGGGAUAACGUCCGGACACGGGCGCUAAUACCGCAUACGUCCUUAUGUAGAAAGGGGGGGAUCUUCGGACCUCACGCUAUCAGAUGAGCCUAGGUCGGAUUGGCUAGUUGGUUUGGUAAAGGCCUACCCAGGCGACGAUCCGUAACUGGUCUGAGAGGAUGAUCCGUCAAACUGGAACUGAGACACGGUCCAGACUCCUAAGGGAGGCCGCAGUGGGGAAUAUUGGCCAAUGGGCGGAAGGCUGAUCCAGGCAUGCCGGGUGUGUGGAGAAGGUCUUCCGAUUGUAAAGACCUUUAAGUUGGGAGAAAGGGAAGUAAGUUAAUACCUUGCUGUUUUGAAGUUACCAAAAGAAUAAGCACAGGCUAACUUCGUG
rnacentral:rRNA from 1 species